UGCUUAACACAUGCAAGUCGAACGGAAAGAGAUGAAAGAGCUUGCUCUUUUAUUAAUUUCAGUGGCAAACGGGUGAGUAACACGUAAACAACCUGCCUUAAGGAUGGGGAUAACAGACGGAAACGACUGCUAAUACCGAAUACGUUCUAAGCAUCGCAUGGUGCAUAGAAGAAAGGGUGGCCUCUACAAGAAAGCUAUCGCCUUAAGAGGGGUUUGCGACUGAUUAGGUAGUUGGUGAGGUAACGGCUCACCAAGCCGACGAUCAGUAGCCGGUCUGAGAGGAUGAACGGCCACACUGGAACUGAGACACGGUCCAGACUCCUACGGGAGGCAGCAGUGGGGAAUCUUCCGCAAUGGACGAAAGUCUGACGGAGCAACGCCGCGUGAACGAAGAAGGUCUUCGGAUUGUAAAGUUCUGUGAUUCGGGACGAAAGGGUUUGUGGUGAAUAAUCAUAGACAUUGACGGUACCGAAAAAGCAAGCCACGGCUAACUACGUGCCAGCAGCCGCGGUAAUACGUAGGUGGCAAGCGUUGUCCGGAAUUAUUGGGCGUAAAGCGCGCGCAGGCGGUUUCUUAAGUCCAUCUUAAAAGCGUGGGGCUCAACCCCAUGAGGGGAUGGAAACUGGGAAGCUGGAGUAUCGGAGAGGAAAGUGGAAUUCCUAGUGUAGCGGUGAAAUGCGUAGAGAUUAGGAAGAACACCGGUGGCGAAGGCGACUUUCUAGACGAAAACUGACGCUGAGGCGCGAAAGCGUGGGGAGCAAACAGG
rnacentral:rRNA from 1 species